CUUACUUCGGAUUUACUCUCCGACAGGGGUCCGAACGCAGCCCGGGAACAGAAAGAAAGCAGGUCAUUUGCAAUCUACCGGAGCCUAAGGGCAGAAGGCAGGUGAGGGAAUUCUCAGGGGCUGUGGGGUUUUAUAGACUGUGCAUCCCAAACUUUGCAGUGUUAGCCAAGCCUUUGUAUGAGGUCACAAAGGGGGCGGGGACCGGGAACCUUUGGAAUGGGGAUCCCAAGAACAGAAAGUCUUUCAGGAGUUAAAGGAAAAACUUCUGGCAGCCCCAGCCCUGGGGCUACCCGAUCUGGCAAAGGCUUUUCCAUUGUAUGCGUUAGAGAGAGAAAAGAUGGCAGCUGGACUUUUAACCCAAACUGUGGGGCCCUGGCUGAGGCCGGUGGCCUACGUCUCUGAACAACUAGACAGGGUUUCUGAAGGAUGGCUCCCCUGUUUGAGGGCCUUGGCAGCAACUGCCCUGCUAGUACAAGAAGCAAAUAAGCUGACUCUUGGGCAAAACCUGAACAUAAAGGCUCCCCAUUUUGUGGUGGCUGAGAGUCAGCCCCUUUUCCCCCGCUGGCUCUUGGGACCCCCAUCGCAGGGGCGAUGACACCCUCUGCGAGGCACGGACUGAGAGCCAGCCUCUCUUCCGCCCCAGGCUCUUAGGACCCCCAUCGCAGGGGGGGAGGCAACCCCCGCGAGGCGGAGACUCAGAGCCAGCCCCUCUUCCCCCUCUGGCUCUUAGGACCACCAUCGCAGGAGGGGGAGGCACCCCCCACGAGGCAGGGACUCAGAGGCAGCCCCUCUUCCGCCCCCGGCUCUUAGGACCCCCAUCGCAGAGGGGGAGGCACCCCCCACGAGGCGGGGACUGAGAGCCAGCCCCACUCAUCGCAGGGGGGGAGGCACCGUGUCCAAGAAGAAAGCUCAAAUCUGCCGACGGCAGGUACCUUACUUGGGAUUUACUAUCCGACAGCGGUCCAAGACAGGGGUCCAAACGCCCGGGAACAGAAAGAAAGCAGGUCAUUUGCAAUCUACCGGAGC
rnacentral:lncRNA from 1 species